CCCUGCUUUGAUACUAGUAAACGUGCUCAAAGUUCUCUAGGGACCUCUAAGGGCUGAAAAAUUCUCCCUACCACAGUUGCUGUGGGAUAGAGCACGUACAGCGUGAAAGAAAUAGAGUGAAAGGUCCUGGCAAGAUGCCCAUCCUACUUCUCGGAUAAAGGCCUUGGCUCUACUAAGAGGUAACAAAGAAGAAGAGCAGGUUUCAGAAGGUAUGAAAGGAAGCUGCAAAGAAUUGUGGACUUACUGA
rnacentral:lncRNA from 1 species